rnacentral:rRNA from 1 species
CAUGCAAGUCGAGGGGCAGCAUGGUCUUAGCUUGCUAAGGCCGAUGGCGACCGGCGCACGGGUGAGUAACGCGUAUCCAACCUGCCUUACACUCUUGGACAGCCUUCUGAAAGGGAGAUUAAUACAAGAUGUUAUCAUGAGUAAGCAUUUUCGCAUGAUUAAAGGUUUACCGGUGUAAGAUGGGGAUGCGUUCCAUUAGAUAGUAGGCGGGGUAACGGCCCACCUAGUCUUCGAUGGAUAGGGGUUCUGAGAGGAAGGUCCCCCACAUUGGAACUGAGACACGGUCCAAACUCCUACGGGAGGCAGCAGUGAGGAAUAUUGGUCAAUGGACGAGAGUCUGAACCAGCCAAGUAGCGUGAAGGAUGAAGGUUCUAUGGAUUGUAAACUUCUUUUAUACGGGAAUAAACGGAUCCACGUGUGGAUUUUUGCAUGUACCGUAUGAAUAAGGAUCGGCUAACUCCGUGCCAGCAGCCGCGGUAAUACGGAGGAUCCGAGCGUUAUCCGGAUUUAUUGGGUUUAAAGGGAGCGUAGAUGGGUUGUUAAGUCAGUUGUGAAAGUUUGCGGCUCAACCGUAAAAUUGCAGUUGAUACUGGGUGUCUUGAGUACAGUAGAGGCAGGCGGAAUUCGUGGUGUAGCGGUGAAAUGCUUAGAUAUCACGAAGAACUCCGAUUGCGUAGGCAGCCUGCUGGACUGUAACUGACGCUGAUGCUCGAAAGUGUGGGUAUCAAACAGGAUUAGAUACCCUGGUAGUCCACACAGUAAACGAUGAAUACUCGCUGUUUGCGAUAUACAGUAAGCGGCC